rnacentral:rRNA from 1 species
CAGGACGAACGCUGGCGGCGUGCCUAAUACAUGCAAGUCGAACGGUCUUUCUAUGGAGGCUUGCUUCCACUGAGAAGAUAGUGGCGAACGGGUGAGUAACACGUGGGUAACCUGCCCAUAAGAGGGGGAUAACAUCCGGAAACGGGUGCUAAUACCGCAUAGUUUUCUUGAUCGCAUGAUUGAGAAAGGAAAGACGGCCUUUGUGCUGUCGCUUAUGGAUGGACCCGCGGCGUAUUAGUUAGUUGGUGAGGUAAUGGCUCACCAAGACGAUGAUACGUAGCCGACCUGAGAGGGUGAUCGGCCACAUUGGGACUGAGACACGGCCCAAACUCCUACGGGAGGCAGCAGUAGGGAAUCUUCCGCAAUGGACGAAAGUCUGACGGAGCAACGCCGCGUGAGUGAAGAAAGGUUUUCGGAUCGUAAAACUCUGUUGUCAGAGAAGAACAAGUUGGAGAGUAACUGCUCCAGCCUUGACGGUAUCUGACCAGAAAGCCACGGCUAACUACGUGCCAGCAGCGGC